UGGUAGGAAGGGGGCAGGAUGAGAUGGGACAGGGUUGGAUGUUUUAGAGCCAUUUGUAGGAUGGGUUUAAACAGCUUUUUUUUUUUUUUUAGGUCUAUUUGUGGGGGUUUUUUUAAGCAAGUCUGCAUGGAAAUGUGUCACCAAUAGCCAGCUGUUUCCAAACAGUUCAGCAUUGCUGGGGUAUUUUUACUGGAUGCAGGCGGAGGGACUGAUCUUGGAAGGAAACUUCAUGUGAAGUCCCCAGCCCGUUUGCAGAUUCAUGUGCUGGUCAAUUUCUGGAUGAGAUUUCAGCUUUCUCAGGGGAGCUGCAGGAAGUGGGAAGAUCCCUGAAAUCUCUCCUAAGCUGUCUCAGAACAGGGACUGGACCAGCCCAAAGGCCCCCGGAGUUGUGGCUCACCAGCAUAGUUUGGGAAUGGAGCAUCCCCCAUCUGCCACAGCAGUGCUGUGGGGUGGAGCAGCCUCAUCAGGAAAGCUGUGACCUGAAUGCACCACAGUUUCCCUUCUAA
rnacentral:lncRNA from 1 species